rnacentral:rRNA from 1 species
UAGGGAAUCUUCCGCAAUGGGCGAAAGCCUGACGGAGCAACGCCGCGUGAGUGAUGAAGGUCUUCGGAUCGUAAAACUCUGUUAUUAGGGAAGAACAAAUGUGUAAGUAACUAUGCACGUCUUGACGGUACCUAAUCAGAAAGCCACGGCUAACUACGUGCCAGCAGCCGCGGUAAUACGUAGGUGGCAAGCGUUAUCCGGAAUUAUUGGGCGUCAAGCGCGCGUAGGCGGUUUUUUAAGUCUGAUGUGAUAGCCCACGGCUCAACCGUGGAGGGUCAUUGGAAACUGGAAAACUUGAGUGCAGAAGAGGAAAGUGGAAUUCCAUGGGUAGCGGUGAAAUGCGCAGAGAUAUGGAGGAACACCAGUGGCGAAGGCGACUUUCUGGUCUGUAACUGACGCUGAUGUGCGAAAGCGUGGGGAUCAAACAGG